rnacentral:rRNA from 1 species
GAUGAACGCUGGCGGCGUGCCUGAUACAUGCAAGUCGAGCGAACCACUUCGGUGGUGAGCGGCGAACGGGUGAGUAACACGUAGGUGAUCUGCCCAUCAGACGGGGACAACGAUUGGAAACGAUCGCUAAUACCGGAUAGGACGAAAGUUUAAAGGUGCUUCUGGCACGGCUGAUGGAUGAGCCUGCGGCGCAUUAGCUAGUUGGUAGGGUAAAGGCCUACCAAGGCGACGAUACGUAGCCGACCUGAGAGGGUGAACGGCCACACUGGGACUGAGACACGGCCCAGACUCCUACGGGAGGCAGCAGUAGGGAAUCUUCGGCAAUGGGCGAAAGCCUGACCGAGCAACGCCGCGUGAAUGAUGAAGGCCUUCGGGUUGUAAAAUUCUGUUAUAAGGGAAGAACGACUUUAGUAGGAAAUGGCUAGAGUGUGACGGUACCUUAUGAGAAAGCCACGGCUAACUACGUGCCAGCAGCCGCCGUAA